CCUACGGGAGGCAGCAGUGGGGAAUAUUGCACAAUGGGGGAAACCCUGAUGCAGCAACGCCGCGUUAGUGAAGACUUAUUUCGGUAUGUAAAGCUCUAUCAGCAGGGGAGAAGAUGGCGGUACCUGAGUAAGAAUCCCCGGCUAACUACGUGCCAGCCGCCGCGGUAAUACGGAGGGGGCCAGCGUUAUCCGGAUUUACUGGGUGUAAAGGGAGCGUAUACGGUGGGACAAGUCUGAAGUGAAAGCCUGGGGCUCAACCCCGAGACUGCUUUGGAAACUGCCUGACUGGAGUGCUGGAGAGGCAAGCGGAAUUCGUAGUGUAGCGGUGAAAUGCGUAGAUAUUAGGAAGAACACCAGUGGCGAAGGCGGCUUGCUGGACAGUAACUGACGUUGAGGCUCGAAAGCGUGGGGAGCAAACAGGAUUAGAUACCCGAGUAGUC
rnacentral:rRNA from 1 species